UCUUAUGUUGGUGUGAAUAGGUGAUGCUUUUUGUGUUGGAAGGACUAUAUUUACUUUUAGGUUGAGCAUGUUAGAGGAGAAACCCUUGUUCAAGAGCCAUUUCUGAGUGGUAAUUUAGUAACGCUGUGUUUAAUAAACUAUAUUUCAAAUGCAAAACUUAUUUAUGUUUAUGAAAGCUAUGCUAUGAUUCGUUAUGAAUGAACAUCCUAUAUUUUUGUAUCAUGUAUUAAGAUGACAUCCUUAGAGUAUGACCUUAUUGGGGGGUUUAAAUCGGGUAAGACCUUACCAGGGGUUCAAGCCGAGUACGUCUUUGUCGAGGGAUUUAUACCAACGUCUUUAUCGAGGGACUCAUGCCAAUAUCUUUGAAAUGUUCAUCGCUAUGUAAAUGUUUACAAGUCAAGAAUUAUUCAUGCUCAAGUUACAUUAUGUUCAAAUUAUGAAUUAUGCCGUGUUUUGGUAAAAGAUUUUUGAUGAUCAUUCAUUUACUGUUUUA